rnacentral:rRNA from 1 species
UACGGGGGGAGCAAGCGUUGUUCGGAUUUACUGGGCGUAAAGGGCGCGUAGGCGGUCAGCACAAGUCAGUUGUGAAAUCUCCGGGCUUAACUCGGAAAGGUCAACUGAUACUGUGCGACUAGAGUGCAGAAGGGGCAACUGGAAUUCUCGGUGUAGCGGUGAAAUGCGUAGAUAUCGGAAGGAACACCAGUGGCGAAAGCGGCUUCCUGGUCCAGCAUCGACGUUCAGGCACGAAAGCGUGGGGAGCAAACAGG